AAGUUACAGGUAUCUAUGCAAAAUUAUUUUAUUUUUCAACAAGGCUCAUAUUGCUUUUAAAAAAGGCAUAAUAUUUUCAUAAUAUAUAUUACCGUAGUAUAUAAACAAAAGGCCUCGACGAUAAUAACAUUCAAACUAUGCAAUCAUCAAUUAUUGUACUAGCGUGUACCGUAUUCAAAAUAAUAACAGUUACUGUAGCUUCUAUUUGUAGCUACUCAAUUCUGAACAUUUGUGUAAAUAUAAAAUUCAAAACAUUAUUUUGGUUGCCCACUUUAAUUGUAUUGGUACUAGGUGAUAUGCAAAUCUGCUGUCUAGGAUUAAACUUGGUCCAUUUUCACACUACAGUUCCAAGUCAUCCAUUGAUAGAUUGAGAUAAGGGAGUGAAUAUUCCAUCAACUGCCAAUUCAUUUAAUACAUGUACUGUAAUAGCAAAUAAUGAUGCUUCUACCUAAAAAUUUUCUGGUUCUAAAAAACUUCAGAUUAUUUUUUGUUCUUUUAUAUAGUCAACUUCUGAUACAUGUAUAUCUACAUUUUAAAACUGUUUUGUCGAUAUUCAAACCUAAGCAAAUUGUAUAUUAGAAAAAAUAGAAUUAUUUAAAGGGUGUAAGGUGAUUUGAUUAGAUUGUUCUUUUUAUUGUUGCGUUUUUUUUCCUUCCUCAAGAUUUGAAUGUGUAUUUAUGAUUACCUGAUUCUGGAGACGACAGAUUGUCCCAGAUAUGUUUGCAUAUUACUUUUCAUGCAAUAAAUUUGAAGUCUUUC
rnacentral:sRNA from 1 species